GCAAGCUAAAAUAUGCUGCAAGUUGGGACACUUUCUCACCUGAGCAUACACUGUGUUUCCAAAACAAACACUGGCAUAACUGUAUUUGCUCAGUUUCAAGCAGUUUUCCUCAAACUAUUUCAUGUUUCUUUUUUAUACCAGUCUUCUUGGACCAGUUCCCACCGACUGAAUCUGUGGAAGGCACCAUCCUCUACUGGUCCCUGCUGUGGGCAUUGGGAGGAUGCUCCUCCAUGCAUUUCACUGGCUGAAGUUCCUCUUCCUUGGCACAGCAGCAGCGGAAUGCAGGUGGCAGUGAGGGGCUCCAGGUGCUGGUGUUCUCCUUCUGCAGGAGGACACCCCACUCCUACAUCCCUGUGCUCCAGCCUCCUUCAUGCCAUGUGUCCCACCAAGGGAGACAAACAGCAAUUGUGACAGCUGACAGCAGUGUUUCCUGUGGAGCUUCCACAGAAACAGCCCCACAUUCCCAGGCUAACAACUGGGUACCUGUCUGAAAAUGGAGGACAAGGAAUUUACUGUAAAGAAAAAAAUCAGUGGCAGCCCUGCUGUAUUUA
rnacentral:lncRNA from 1 species